rnacentral:rRNA from 1 species
UACAGAGGGGGCAAGCGUUGUUCGGAAUUACUGGGCGUAAAGGGCGCGUAGGCGGCCGCCUAAGUCAGACGUGAAAUCCCUCGGCUUAACCGGGGAACUGCGUCUGAUACUGGAUGGCUUGAGUUCGGGAGAGGGAUGCGGAAUUCCAGGUGUAGCGGUGAAAUGCGUAGAUAUCUGGAGGAACACCGGUGGCGAAGGCGGCAUCCUGGACCGACACUGACGCUGAGGAGCGAAAGCCAGGGGAGCAAACGGG